rnacentral:rRNA from 1 species
AUUGAACGCUGGCGGCAGGCCUAACACAUGCAAGUCGAACGAGUGGCGGACGGGUGUGUAAUGUCUGGGAAACUGCCUGAUGGAGGGGGAUAACUACUGGAAACGGUAGCUAAUACCGCAUACCAUCAGAUGUGCCCAGAUGGGAUUAGCUAGUUGGUGGGGUAACGGCUCACCAAGGCGACGAUCACUAGCUGGUCUGAGAGGAUGACCAGCCACACUGGAACUGAGACACGGUCCAGACUCCUACGGGAGGCAGCAGUGGGGAAUAUUCCGCAAUGGGCGCAAGCCUGAUGCAGCCAUGCCGCGUGUAUGAAGAAGGCCUUCGGGUUGUAAAAUACUUUCAGCGGGGAGGCGUUACCCACAGAAAAAGCACCGGCUAACUCCGUGCCAGCCGCCGCGGUAAUUC